CCAGUGCUGGUGGUCAGGUCUUUCUUGUUCCCAGAGGGAAGGAGCACAAGUGAGCAGAGGCAGUACAAGUGGAAACAUGAGAUUCAGGGUUGACUCUGUCGCUGCGUAACCUCAGCAUAACUGUGUCUAUGAGCUGUAGCCUCCUCAUCUUCACACAGCCAUAUUACCGCUACCAAAAGCUACUGACUGUCAGUGUCGUAGGGUUAUUGGAAGAAGGGAAGGAGUUAACCACUUUGCAAAUUCUACAAGGUUAUCAAACACCUGUUGGUUACUGAUUACAGAAUCUGAAGAAGAAAAGGAAACUUCAGGUUGUUCCAAGAACACUAACCUGUGCCAUUUGAAUACCCUGCUGCCUUCAACACUAGCCUUGUCCAGAGCUGUUGUCACUUGCUCAGAGCUGUCACUUCCCAAGAUGAGGUUCUAUCACUUGUAGGAAAGAGGUGGAAGGCAUGGGGUAACCUGGCACACGGAAUGAGGUGGGGGAAAGCAGACAGUGGGCCAAGUAAAAGCUGAGUCAUUAUCUAGUCAUAAGUGAGUUCCUUCACCUUCCUGUUCCUUCCCUUAGAUUUUCUCCUCAUGAAGCUGGAGUCGAUAAUUCCCAAUAAGAAACUGUUAUGAUUGAGAAUUGAUAUGUGUCUGUUAAGGCCACUGUUAUGACUGAGAAUUGAUAUGUGUCUGUUCUGUCUUGGGGAUAAAAGCUUUUAUAUAACUAUUCUCAUUGUAAUCUCCCACUAGUCACAAAGAAGUGUGUAUUAUUCUUAUAUACAGCUCCUCAUGGUGGAAACAGGUAAGCAAAUUUCUAAUACACGACUUUGGAUUCUAAAGUUCCAACAUAUAAGUGUAAGUUCCAAAUGGAACUCUUUGGAUGAGAACACAUCUUGCUACCAUAUUAUUCACUGUGUUUUUAUGUAUCUCUCCCAAUGGAAGGAGGACUUUCAAGUGAAGAAUAGGGAGCUUCUAAAACACGAGCUGUGUUGCAUGGGUGGCUGAAUACAGCAAACAUCAGAGUGAUUGUACUGAUAAGAGAAGCACUCCAACAAGGGAAAAAGAAUUUAUCUUCCCUCACUAGUGGGAGCAAAGAAAGACAUUAUUCUCCCUUCAAAGUUUCCAGAGGGCAUUUUUGUGGUGCUCUGAAAAAAUAAAAGAUAAGAAUCAGCCUUAUUUAUUGUAAAUUUCUGGGAAUAAAGGAUACAUCUUGUUUUAACAAAAUUUGGAGACCUCUUUCUUUUUUAUCUACGACUAAUGAUACAAAUCUGAUUAAGUAGAGCUUGAUUUACUAGCUAUUCUGGAAAAAGUAAGCACUACCUGCUUAAUAAAAUUGAAACUCUAAGUACUAAAAUCACAAAGUUGCAAAACUAUUUGGCUAAUGGUUGUUGUUAUUGUUGUUAAUCCUAUUUAUGUCCAUCAAAACCUUUUAACUGCUCUAUGCUUCUUUGUUGUGCAAUUCACAUGCCACCAAGUCCAGUAAUCCAUUCCCACCGGGUGAAUAGGAAUUCCUUCUGUAAAGGAAACACUUAAUACAAGGGAAGACUGAAAAAUAUGGCGAACGUUUAAAUUUUAAAAAGGUAUGGCAGUAAAAGAUGCAUUGUCAUUAAUCCCUCUCAAAAUACUGCCCCUCGCUUGGUCGCUUAUCCCAUCAUUCUCGCCACUUUCUGAAGAGCUUCUGGAAGUCUUCUUUUGUGAGUGUCUUUAGUUGCAUUCUCACGGCUGCCUUGAUGUCCUGAAUCAAUUCAAAGUGUUUACCUUUCAUGGUCAUUUUUGACUUUGGGAAAGAGCCAGAAUUUGCACAGUGCCACAGCCACUGAGUAAGGUAGAGGAAGAAACACUGUUUUUAUGAACUUGCCUUUUCACUAGAUGGCACUCAGUAGCAGUAGCAGCAGGCACUGCAUUUUUUUUCAAUCACACCUGGUAAAGACACUCACAAAUGAAAACUUUCAAAAAUGCUUUAGAAACUGCAAGGAUGAUGAGAUAAGUGUGUUUGAAGGGCAGGGGAAUGUUUUAAGGAUUAAAGGGAGUAUUUUUUACAGUAAUCAAUUUUUUGAAAUUUAAACAUUCACCAGAUAUUUUGAUCACCCCUUGUAUUUGCAGAGGGAGCUUUCCUCCAGAGGGUCAGGGACUGCAAAGACCAUUAAUUACUUCACCAAUGUGGAAACAGAGCUGCAUACUGUGGGUGGACUUUCCUGGGACCAUAGAGUCAGCUUGAACAUGAUGGGCUCCUCCUGUGCUCUACCCACAAGACACGAGGAACAGCCCUCAGCAAGCCAAUACCCGAGAAGGGCACCUGCUGGUUCCUCACCCACCUGCACAGAAGUGCAAGAUGUUUGUUCAUAGUCCAGCAGAUAGCUAGUGGAGCCUUGCUGGUGGUGUUCCCAUGUCUCCUACUCAGGUGGACUUUUCUGAAACAUGUACAAUUCCUACACUGUGGUGACCACUUUUACUUCUGUCAUGUGUUUCUGUUUUUCUUUAAUGCAAUUAGAUUAGAAUCCAUUCAGUUUGGCUCAACCCAAUUUGACAAAGGUUUACUGACUGUUUCUGUCAUGUAUUGUAGUAGAUAAAAGAUGAAUGUUUAUUUCUGACCUUAAGAUAUUUAAACAUUUUUAAAAAAGGAACUAAGGUAGACAGAACUGGAUUAGUCAUAAUCCCUGGUCCAUGAUAACUGUUACACCAUCAUCACUGGCUCAUAAGUGACCCCUGUUUAAUUAAUUUUCUUAAUAAUAAAUACAUGUAUAACUACUGUCAACCCUAAGAACAGUAUCAAUGAAUAGCAGUAUCAAUAAUAAUAUCAAUAACAGUAUCAACACCUUUGGGCCAUGCCCUUCAUGUAGCCUCUCUCACAUUGCUACUGCUCAGAAUUUUGUAUUUAUAUUUUCUUAUCCUCUGGUACCUUUUUUUCUAGUUUCAAGACACACACACGUGAGCACGCACCUAAAACAAUUAUAUAUUAUUUAAUUUUACUGUUUUUGCAUAGUCUUUGGGGGAAUGAUAAAAACUAUUUAAUUUUUUUGGUAGCUCUGGGGAUGGAACCCAGGGCCUAUGCACACUAGAUUAGUGCUUCACCACUGAGGAACGCCCCCACUCUUGACGUGCAUCUUUAGCUUCUCUAUCCAUGCACUUUCUAGGUCCUAGAGAACAAAGAGAGUGAACAACAAACAAGCAAGAAUUUCUUUCAGCUCUCAUGGACAAAUAUCCAAUAAACAAAAUGUUUAGCCAGCCCAACAGUUAUAAGAGCCAUGGGUAAAGUGGACAGGGAAGGUGGUUGCUGGGGUUCUUGAGGAAGUGAUUCAGACAAGGAGUGGGGGGCAGAUGGUUUGUGAGUGAAUCCAGUGUGAUCAGACAGGAAGAGCGGGGAGAAGUGUCAAGGAGGUGACCUGAGCCUGACCUGGAAUCAUUCUGAUUUUUUAAGGCAUUUUUAAAAUUGGUAUGUUUGUGAUACAUAAUAAAUACCAUCCUCAUGGGAGACUGGUAACAUACAUAAUCUGCCUUUGGCUUUCAAAGAAGAUUUAAAAUCCCCAUUUAGGAUUAAAAAUACAACUCAUCAUUCAAAGUUCAGCUACUUUUACUCUCACAUGGCAAUGCUUUUAUUAAACUUAUAGCCUUUAAAACUUUUCAAAAGUAGUUAAUAGCUAUUCACAUAAGAAACUAUGAAAUCUGAGGCUGGGGAUUUAGCUCAGCGGCAAAAGCGCCUGCCUGGCAAGUGCAAGGUUGUGAGUUCGGUUCCCGGUACCAGAGAAAAACCAAAAAAAAAAAAAAAAAAAAAAAAAGAAACUAUGAAAUCUUAGAGUUGGAAGCAACUUUAGGGAUGAAGAUCCUGCAGUGUGUAACUGAUGAAAAUGAGAUCUAAAACUGUCAAUUAAAUUAUAUAUACAUAUUAUGGAAAAGUUAUUCUUCCAGGUGAAACUGUUUGUCUUAAGCUAUAAAACUAAUUAAUAGUGAAGGUAAUACCAGGGACUAGACUCUUUUGAGCUCAUGAAGAAAAUUUUUCCUUAGUGUCCAAUAUGGUGAAAACUAGGGGAUCAACUGUUGAUCCAACAACCUAAAUGUAUGAGAGAGAAAAUUUGGCACCAGAGAUGUUAAGCUAAAAGUAGGAAUCAGCAGACAUUUUCAGUUCUCUACAAGCCGAAGAAUAGAGAAAGAACAGAGAGGGAUUAGCCCAGAAUCCUGCUGAGAUGUCUCACACUGUCCCUGGAAGGACAAGCAACCAAUUGCAGAUACUGGAGGCCUGCCUGAUCCUGGGCACAGCCAAGGAAGGAGAAGAGAGAGCACAUGUGUUCCACUACCUGAUAUUCAGCUGAGUUCCACCACCGUGUAUUAACUGUCUUCUUUAAAUACACCUCAGCUUCUUUUAGCUGCAGCUCUAACUCCUGGAGCUUGUGCUGCCUGAGCACCAGCUGUCUGCUGAGCUUAUCUUCCUCCUUGCCACAAAGCCAAAGCAAAUCUAUGCUUUUCCUUGUCCCAUGUGCUGUUCUGCUCUAAGGGGCUCGGCAUUACUUCUCAUGUUUCCCUCUCCUUAUUCUGAGUCUUUUGCUUUCUUGUCUAAAAUAUAAAAACUGUGAUCUUAGGGAAUGUUGGGAGACUAGUUCAGAAUCUCAAGAGUUUGAGGGGAUAGCAGGUAGAGCAACAGAAAAUGUUGACCAAAAACCAUUAGGAUUGCAGGGAGGGUCAACAACAAAAUGCUAUACUGAGUGCCCAAUGAAACCUGACUUCCAGAUAAAAGUAUAUUGUAACUGUUGCUGGAUACUUAAAAAUUAUAUAUUAUGUUAAUUUGUCUAAAAUUCAAGUUAAUCUAGGUAUUUUGUAUUUUUAAUUGCAAAAUCUGACAAAGUUACACUUGUGAGAAAUGAGGGCCGGGAAGUGGUAGGUACCAGAGUUUGUCUUUGUUCGGGUUGUAUGAGAUAGGCAACAGACAAGAGAAAAAGGGGAAAGAAGCACAUAGUUCUUUAAGAGUAAAAUCCAUUACUGGAUGUCUUGCUGUACCUGUGAUCCAUGCAUGUGUGUCUGCACACAUAUGUAUAUGUACUUCAAUUUCAUAGGACACAGGGCCUGAUCUUAGGGGAAAACUUUGACAGUCAUACUGAGUAUAGACAUUGAACAAAUAACGACUAGAAGCCUGCUGUGGUGGCACAUGCCUCUAAUUCCAGUACUCUGGGCAGCUGAGGCAGGGGAAUUGCAAGUUUAAGCCCAGCCUAGGCAACUUAGUGAGAUACUGUCUCAAACAUUAUAAAAACAGCUUGGGAUGUAGCUCAGUACAAAGGCCCUGGGUUCAAUUCCCAGUACUGAAAAAAGAACAACAAGAUUAAAACUGAAAAAAUACAAUCAGUUAGCAACACUCAUUAAAUUUAGUAAACUGCAGUGGUUUAUGGCCAUCACAGUGAUGCCAUUUUACUUGUUUCCAG
rnacentral:lncRNA from 1 species